rnacentral:rRNA from 1 species
CCUACGGGAGGCAGCAGUGAGGAAUAUUGGUCAAUGGCCGGAAGGCUGAACCAGCCAAGCCGCGUGAGGGAGGAAGGCGCAGAGCGUCGCAGACCUCUUUUGCCGGGGGACAAAAGGCCGGACUCGUCCGGUCCUGAGGGUACCCGGAGAAAAGGCAUCGGCUAACUCCGUGCCAGCAGCCGCGGUAAUACGGAGGAUGCGAGCGUUAUCCGGAUUUAUUGGGUUUAAAGGGUGCGUAGGCGGUCCGUUAAGUCAGCGGUAAAAUUGCGGGGCUCAACCCCGUCGAGCCGUUGAAACUGGCAGAC